GUAUAUUGAAUCUAAGGGGGAAAUUCCAAUACAUCCAAAAGGAGCAAUACAUAUUUCAUGUUUGCUAAUGAACUCAUCCUGGAAUUCCAAGUAUUUAAAAGAUGAAACUCUUCACAUAAUACAAAAACUAAGUACAAGAAUUUUGCUUUCACAAAAGAGAAUGCAGAGAGGGACGAGUUGCAGUGCUUGAACGCCUUAGAAAGGUCGCUUCUCUCUCUUUAGUUAUCACAGAUGUUUUUCCUUCUUUCUCUCUACUCUUAUUUGCUUGGACCAAUGGCUCAGACGAAGAGGACAAGCUAACAUUAUCAUUAUUAUUGUGAAAUAGCACCUCCAUAAUUAUACUCAUUUUGCCUCCAACAAGCUUUUGUUUAGCUGCCCAUCUUUGAAUUUUGCCUGAAGUUGUCUUUGGAACACUUCCACUCUUUACAAGAACGACCAGCCCAAUUUCAACUCCUUCUUCCUCCAAAAUAGCUUUCCUUAUUCCUUCACAUAUUUGCCUCAAAACAUUAACAUCUUUUUCACUUCUUUGCGUCUCUGCAACAAGAGCUACUACUGUGUUUGAAAUCUCGAAUGCAGCGAGGCAACCUCCUCUUAAAAACUCUGGAUAACCAUUAUAAGCUGCUGUUUCUAUGUAGUGAGGGUGUUUAUCUCUGCCUUUUGGGAGCCUGGUAACAUCUGAGCAUCGACCUGUCACGUAUAGAUACCUUGCUUCUCCUUUGAUGACUCCUCUAUCGCCAGUGCGGACAAAGCAUCUGCUCACCUUGUUCUUCUGUCUCGCUUGGAAUAUCUCACGAGUUAAAGAUGGAUGGUCGAGAUAACCAGAACAAUUGCUAGGUGAUGAGACCCAAAUCUCACCUUCUAACCCAUCUGCAACUGGUUCAUGUGUGUCUUCAUUUACAACUAUAAUGUCCAUAUCCUCUUCAUCUUGUUCAUGUUGAGAAGUGAGCCUUGCAAUCG
rnacentral:misc_RNA from 1 species